AAACAAUUCCUCGAAGAAAACUUUCGAGGGAGGAAGGAAUCGCAGCGACGUAUCGAUCAAUCGACUUCCCUUUGAAGCGCAUGCGUAAUGCAAAAUAAAUAUAUACAUAUAUACGCAAUUGAAAACUAUAAUCGCUGCUAAUUCGUUGUUUCGAUCGUAGAGAUUCAACGAGGACUCUCACUCCUCUAGAUCGCGCACGCCUGUAAACUUCGAUAAAAUCGUAAUCCUCUGGCAGAAAGAGGGGGAAAAAAACGUGCAAGUUUCCAAGCGGCGAGACUCGUAUAUACUUUAAAUUCGUAGGUUAUCCUUUGCUCGUAGUCGUUAAAUACUCGAAGCUAUCUCCCAUAAGUUUCUUCUUCGUGUAGCUUAUGAAUAGUCAUAAAAAACUUGGGCGCGUCCACGUCUCUGGCGAGAUCAAUCUAUCUGAAGAAAAAAAGAAGAAAACAAACGAGUCCCUUGAUAAAUUCAUGACUCACGAGUAUCGAAUUUCUACUUCGAAUGGAGAUGAGAGGAAGGAUGGAAAAUAUGGAAAGUAAAAAAAAAAAGGACUUGAACGCGCCCCGGUGAUUAGUGAUCUCGGAAUGAGUGGCGAGUGAGUGCGAGAAAUGAAAGGAUCUCUAUCCAUCACUGAAAUUUGAAGCCCGCCAGAAGAAUAAUAAGAGUAUAAGAAGAAAUGUUUAAAUAAAAAGAAAAUUUUCUAAAAGGAAAAGAGGAAAACGGUAUAUAGCGAUUCUGAAUCGUAUUUCCGGAAGCCCUUGUGACCGAAUGAAUUCUCGUUGGCCAUCGCGUAGGCCAAGCUAUUAUAAGCUUUUCUUCCGUUCCACCGCGUUGUACACUUUUUUUUUUUUUUUCUUUUUUUCGUUCGUCGACAUACAAGAGAACAAAGAGAGGAGAAGAGAGAGAGAGAGAGAGAGAAAGUAGCGAGAAAAGAGAAAAUGGAGACGAAAAAGAAACGAUGAAGAAACGAACCGUUGCUCUCUCUCGACCACGAGGAAAGAAGAGAACGAGCUCGAGCCACUUUGUGUAAAACGGUUCUUGCCCCACGAUCAUCGCAUUACAAACGAAGAACAUUGGACAAAGGAGAACAAGAAUCGAGGAGAUGAAGGAGGGGGAAUGAGUCGCGAGCGGAAAACAGUGAAACACACGUAGUAUACCUUUUUAUUUUGAAUCCUCGUUGCACGAGAGAAGGAUUCAUCGAUCCUUUUCUCGACACUAUUUAAUUUAAUUGGCAGACGUCUCGAGUGCUGUGCAAAUGGAGAAAAAUAAGAGAGGAAACCUCCUUCGCGAAGAAGUAUAGAGAGAAAGAGAGAGAGAGAGAGAGAGAAGCUAGCUUGUUUUUCUUUUUUAUCGCGAGGAGAAAAGGGGACAAUGAAUAAAAGAAAAUGCCGGAACGAUUGUGAAGGUUUAAUUGAACGCCGCCAUUCUUGCGAUGAUGGUACUUCUCGUUCCUCGUGGUCGACUACGGCAAACGGGAACCGUUUCGCUUGGUCGACCUGGCUGUCUUCUGCUCGACGAAUCCUGAAGUUAUUUCAUCUCGAAUAUUCGAGAGAGAACAACUAGAGGAAGUAAAAAAAAAAAAAGAAAAAUCCGCGGAGAAAUUGGACGAGCUAUCGAUGAAGAUUGAUACGAUCGUGAAACGUGAAAAGGAAUUCCAGAGUACAAGACAGAGUCGUGGUCGUCUUCUCUAUACCUCCCCUAUAAGAGUACAAAUUUUUCUAACAAAAAAAAAAAAAUAAAAUAAAAUAAAAUAAAAUUAUAUUCGAAGCGACGAAUGAGAAAUAUAAUAUUGACACUGAGGAAGCAGUAACAAAAGAGAAGGACGACGCGAAGAGAGGCGAGAAGAAGAAGAAGAAGAAGAAGAAAGUGAUUGUACGCGAUUGAUUUCAGAACGGAGGAAUAAAUGGAUUUGCGUGCCUGUAUUUUGCUGAAGAAAAAUAAGGAUAUCCGUGUGUUUAUUCGAAUGUGGGAUAAUUUCGUGUUUGAGGAAUGGUGUGAAAGGGAUGGAAGAACGUAUAACGAGAAAGAAGAAAUAUUAAUUAAGAGAAAGAGUAAAACGUUUAAACUAUGUUUUUCCUGGUGGUACGAGUUAUGAAAAAAAAAAAAAAAUUAGACAAAUGAUCUAUUAUAAUAGUAUAUAUAUAUAUGAUAUGUACCGUAUACUUAUUUAGAGUUAGGCCUCGUUUCGACACGUGUCGCGUAUUGAGAUACGACGACGUAUGAACAUAUAUUAUACACUCGACGACAGCAUAGGCGUAUAUUACCUGUACGUUUAACGAUCUUGAACUGCCAUUAGCACUUAAGGCGCGGCUUCGCCCGAUUUAUCUCGAUUUAGCCCGAAUUCUCUCAGGUAUUCGCGUCCUCUGGGGACCGCUUUACGUUUUACCCAGUUCGAAACUACGAAUUCUUACGAAAUGUACGUUCAAUGCAUCCAAUAUUCUUCGAUCGUUCACGGAAAUUUUAUAUACACACAUAUAUAUAUAUAUAUUGCAAAUUUUAUAUCGAAUUUCGAUCUGUAAAACUCGAAGGAAAAUAUCUUGGAAAAUUCUUCCAAGAUUAUUCUCCUCGAGAAUUCCUCCUCUAAAUCCACGAAUCCACCAAGUAAAAAUUUUAUCGAAGAGGUCGAGCGCGUAGAAAUAUCGAAAAGUUCAAAGGUUUCUGGGAGGGGGGAACGUAAUUUCGGUCCAGUCGACGCACGAAGAAAGCAAAUUCCGAAUAUUUCCCACGAUUGAAGGGAAAAGGAAGAUACGGGGGAAGAAAUACGGUAGCCGGUUUCGCGAAAUUCUCUCGAAAUUCGUUCUACCUAGGCAGGUGUCUUAAGUGUGACUGGUACGGUAAUUUCACGGCGAAUAAGAGAGAGAGAGAGAGAGAGAAAGAGAACCAGAGAGAGAGAGAGAGAGAGAGAAGGAGGGGGAAGAGAAUCAUUCGAUAUACAACAUUCGUUUUAACAAAAUAGAGAAUAGAAUUUAAAAAAGGGGGAAGGGGAUGAAAAGAAAGAGUGAAGGAGUAAAUUCGAAGAUAGGAACGCAAGCGUAUCGGGGACGUACAAAAUAAAAUAUAAGCGAAGGAGGAGGUCUAUUUGGGUGCGCUGAACGGUGUCGGGAUAUGUAACCUUGGGGGAAAAAAAAAAAAAAAAAA